rnacentral:SRP_RNA from 1 species
UCGUGCUGGAUGGGGAGGUAGCGGUGCCCUGUAACCUGCAACCCGCUUUAGCAGGAUCGAUCUCUAUAGAGAGGUAUUUGCUGAAAUUUCUUUUGAAUUCAAGUAGUGUUGAAGCUUCAAUCUAUCGCAAUAGGCUGACACUGAACUCCGUCAGGCCCGGAAGGGAGCAGCGGUAAGUUGAUACUUAUGUGCCGGUGGAUCAUUGGAGUGGAGCUAACUAAAUUGAAGAGAUGUUGUCCAGAGAUGUCAAUUUAUAGUGCACGA